GUUAAUCACUGCUAUAAAUCUGCAGUGUGGGAAAAGUUGAAUCUACGGACUGGAAAACUCAUGACAGUGAAUACUAACAAUCAGAAUAAUGCUCAAAAACAUAAAUGAUAAAAUUUGCAUUUUGACUCUUAAAAACUUAAACAAGACAGAUUCAGGCAUGUACUAUUGUAUGAGUCAUUAUAACCAACUGGCUAUGAUCGGCAGUGGGAGCAGGGUGAUCGUAACAGAUCACUCUGAACCAGAACUCUUCAUCUUAUUCUCAGCACAUGAACCUGACUCAGCGUCAGUAUCACUGCAGUGUCUCGUGACUGGACUUGUCCCGUAUCAGGUGCGCGUGUUCUGGAUGAUUGGAGAGAAUGUGCUCUCUGGAUGGACUGAGUCCGGCUGGACAGACAACACUGAUUCUGCUAGAGAAUUCACACGGGCUCAUCUCUCUGUUUCUGCAGAGGAGUGGAAUAAAGCAGAUGAAAUUCACUGCUUUGCUGAAUAUGAUGGCAAAAACAUCUCCAAAGCUCUGGUGCGAAUCGGACCUGAACCUAAAAUCUUCUCAUGGCUUGUGUACACCAGCUGUGUGGCAGCGCUCCUUACCAUAUUUCUAACCGUUAUUAUGUCUGUGGGAUUAUAUCGAGAUAUGUUGAUGACCAAAAAAUCCAGACGGUUCACAAGUAAAAGAUGCCCACCGCAAACCUUCAUAUGGUAAACAGAACACACUGAGAGAAGAGGGUUCAUCUGUCAUAGUAAGAGACAGAAAUGAAGAUUGUGAAUAUUGAAGUGGAUCACUAAAGUUUUUUUUUUUUUUUUUCUGUCUGCAUGUCUGUUUCUGCCGUUUCAGAACAACUAGUUAAAUAAUAAACAAUCUUCAAAUAUGUAUCAUACAAUAUGAACACGGUUUGAUGUAGUAAUAUUUAAUUUAUUGACAAAAAAGUUGUAAGUACAUGGUUAAUGAAGCAAUCUAUGUUUAAUAAAACUUAUUUGAGAUGUGAUGUUGGGUAUGUCAGUUUUGUUGGUGGUAUUGGUAAAAGUUCUAGCAUUAGUUAAGUACCUAAAAUAAGUGCAAGUAAAUAAAUAAAUACCAAAUAAGUGGUUAUAAAAAGCGGUAUAUAAAUAAAAAAAAUAAAAAAAAUUCUAAAUCUUCUGAAAUCAUAUGAUAUUCUUGUAUGAGGAACAAACUUAGACUGAAAAUAUUUGGCAUUGUUCUCCUCUAUAUUUUUAACUGAACGCAGGCACUCCCAUUCAAAUGUGUAGAAUUGUAGAAAUGUGUAGAUUUUUAGUAAUGAUGGCUUAAAUUUUGGUCUGUUCCUCAUAGUUUUAAUCUUCAAAUGAUUUGUUCUAUAGCAUUUUGUAUCACUUACUUGAAUUUUGCUUUUUGUCCUCUUUUGAGAUUGACAGAGGUGGCCAUGAUUGUCAUGGAAUUAAAAAAAAUUUGUGGAGAUUGUUUAAAAGUGUUCUUUUUUAUUACAUGGAUUUCUGACCCGUCAGUUGUGGCAUUGAGCACUC
rnacentral:lncRNA from 1 species